rnacentral:lncRNA from 1 species
CUUGAUGUUGGUAGAGUGAUGAUAGGUAAUUUGGGUCCACAUUCUCCUUGUUAUGAAAAUCGUCCUUGCACUGACCAGACACUUUCGAAGAUGAUUUCCGCCCCUUUCCAUUAACUUUUUCAUGGUUAAGGUUGUAUUCGCUCAACACAUCAUCUUCCUUCUCUCUUUUUCGUUUACAUUCCAUUUGAGUUCCCAAUGCCGAGAGAAAUAAGUUGUGAUUAGGCACCUUCCGGUCAGCAUCUUUUUUCUUGUUUAAGAUUGUAGAUUCCAGUGAUAACUUUUGGCUAAUGCCAUGUUUUCUUUUAUUGCUAGGACUAAGCUCCAGAGCACCAUGGUUUGAUGCUAGGUCCAAUCCUUGAACUUCCACCUGCAAUCAAAAGAAGUAUGAAGAAUAACGAAUCCAAAACAAACAACAUAAAAAUCAAAUAAAUCAA